AAGAAAUUAGUUUAAAUAAAACAUUAGACUGUCAGACUAAAAAUAUUAUUGUUAAUAUUUCUUA
rnacentral:tRNA from 1 species